rnacentral:tRNA from 1 species
GGACAGUUGGCAGAGCGGUCGAAUGCGGCGGUCUUGAAAACCGUUGAGGGAAACCUCCAGGGGUUCAAAUCCCUUACUGUCCG